GCUGGGCAUGGUGGUGCAUGCCUGUAAUCCCAGCUACUUGGGAGGCUGAGGCAGGAGAAUCGCUUGAACCCGGGAGACAGAGGCUGCAGUGAGCUGAGAUCAUGCCACUGCAUUCCAGCCUGGGUGACAGAACGAGACUUUGUCUCAA
ensembl:misc_RNA Metazoa_SRP Metazoan signal recognition particle RNA